GACGAACGCUGGCGGCGUGCUUAACACAUGCAAGUCGAACGAAGUGGCGAACGGGUGAGUAAUACGUGAGUAACCUGCCCUCCUUUUUGGGAUAAGCCUUGGAAACGGGGUCUAAUACCGAAUAAAGGGGGAUGGGCUCGCGGCCUAUCAGCUUGUUGGUGGGGUGAUGGCCUACCAAGGCGGUGACGGGUAGCCGGCGUGAGAGGGUGACCGUGCAAAUUGGGACUGAGACACGGUCCAGCCGCCUACGGGAGGCAGCAGUGGGGGAUAUUGCACAAUGGGCUAAGGCAUGAUUGAGCGGGGUCGCGUGGGGGAUGAAGGCUUUCGGGUUGUAAACCUCUUUCGCUAAGGAACGGGUAGGUGCAGAAGAAGCGCCGGCUAACUACGUGCCAGCAGCCGCGGUAAUAC
rnacentral:rRNA from 1 species